UGGCUUGGUGGGUAAGAAGGGAAUUGAAUCUGAAUCCGACGUACCCAUUGUGAUCUCUGGAGAGGAAUUUAUGAGUUGGGGGAUGGAAGGAAAUGCAAUUUAAAUCGAAUGCACCUACAGCGUUUUCUCUGGGGUCGGGGAAUGAGUGAGUAGCAGGCAGUGGUGAUCUUAGAGAUAUUUUCUGUUUCUGGAAAAUGAAAAGGGAGAGAGGAAGAGGUUGGUUGAUCUACUGCCGAUCAGUUGCUGAGUAUUUUAUUUAAGAGGGUUUGUUUGUUUGUUUUUUUGGUACACCCUCUUCCUUGUGAUCCUGUGAAGCCAGAAGAGGCAAGGAAGAUAAGCUGAGGACAGAAAUAGAAGAAGAGAUGGGACAUCCACAUGCUUAUUAAGUUCUGCUUUGUGAACGGCGGAAGAAGAUUGUCAAAUUGGCUGAAAGAGCGAGUUCUCAAUAACGUGUCACAUGGAACUAGCAUCAAGUUAGAAACCUGAUAAGAUACAGUUAUCAUCAGAUAUUCCGUGGGCUUAAUACCAAGGGAGAACUUUUCUUUUAAAGCAACUACAAGAAGGGGACAACACAAAAGGGCUGUUGGUGAUUGCUCCUUUGCAAUAGAAGCAAAGAAUCCAUGAAGGAUAGUACUUUGUACUCCAUGAGAGAGGUGAAGCUCUUGUAACUGAAACAUGGUGGUAGCCAAUCCAUAAAUCAAAGGUAUAAAUAGUUGGGGUCCAAUAUGUGUAUGAACAUUGCACUUGCAAGGAGUCAGCAGUCUUCUAGACUGGCCAAAUGGCAAAGCUUCCAGGCCCAACCUUAACCUUCUGCUGCCAGGGAUCGCAGUCCCAGAAAAAGUACAUGUCUUCAAGACAGCUGGCUAAAGUGAACCUUAAGCACACGCUCCUGCAGCCUGUGGUCCCCUGAAAUGCCAGAUUCCCAGUCCAGUCAGAUACGUUGCACAGGACUAGGACUAGCCUUAUUUUUGGCUACUUUGUAACUUGCAUGUUGCUGUUUACCUUUGUAACAAUUUACUAUUUGGUUUGUAGAGGGAUGUUUACUAUUUGGUUUGUAGAGAGACAUCCCUGAAGCGUUUUAAAACUGGGGCUUUAUUAUUCUGAUUGGGUGGAGGAAAGAAAACAUCUCACCCAUAAUUCUUGUUAACUGAAGUUUCAUUAUAGUAUUUAUACCCCUGCCAUCUUUCUCAUACAGUUGGGGACACAUUUUGCAUUCUGCAUGCUUUUCCAAAUUCGGUAUGAAAAUGGAUUUGAUUGUUACUGGCUGCUGGUUUUGCUGUGUCACAUCAGAGCCUGGCCUGUAUGCUCAACUGAUAAGGCAGAGCCAUGAUUUCACAACACCCACAUUUUGAGAGGGCUCUCUAAUUUUGAACACCACCGAUGCUGAAUGUCGCCCUUGAAAUGCCUAUGGCCUGGUUGUCAGAGAUGCUGAUCACACACUGCUCCAUUGGAAGUUGUCACAGAGUCACAGGCCCCGUGCUCUGGAACUGCUCUGUAUGAAACCAGAUAGCUGUCGCCAGGGCAAGAAGCUUUUUCCACUAUGGCCUUCCUGGGUCUGACCUCAGAGCAUUCAGCACCCAUGUUCUCACUGUGCACUUCCCGCAGUGAGUCCACCUGGAUGGGACCCCUAGGGAAGCCAGAGGGGCCAUGCACCCCAACUUCACAGUCUGCAGUGACUCUCAGCCAGUGUUUUAAAACAGAAGGGUUUAUUAGUCGACAGGAACAUAGUGUAGAACAGAGCUUGUUAGAACAUAAAGCAGGACCAUUCAGUAAAGUCCAUCUUGGGGGGAUCCAGAGGCUGAUGCCCUGGACUCCCCCAUCCGAGUCCCAAACAGGAGACCAGAUUCAGCUGCCUGGCCUCAGACCCCCUAUAGCCCCUCCUUGUUUCUUUGUCUCUUUCCCGGGCCAGCAGGUCACCUGGUCUGCAUCAACACCUCCAGCUAAUUCUUGCAGAGAAGGGGGCCCUGCCAUCAGAUGCCAGGCCACAGAGUGUUGGCCAUUCUCUGUCCCAGGCAGCCAGUCAGCAGUCACACCUGUCCUCUAGGGGUCACUGCUGUGAUCACAUACUCUAUCCCACCACCUAAAUACUUGAGUAAUUUAGGGGAAUAGGGGAAAAAUAGGGGAAACUGAGGCGCACACACAGUAUUCAAAGAAAACAUAAGAACAUUGCCACUUCAUCACAGAAGUGAAUUGUAACUGUUGUGUGCUCAGCACCACAGGAAAGAGAACCUACAUAUUUCAACUUGAAAAUAUUGAGCCAUCCAAAGCUAAAAGAAAAUGUAGGUCUAAGACUAUGGGAGUUCUCCAGGAACACUUUCCCCACAUUGCAUGUAUUGCACAUCCCAAACAGGAAUGUGGCAAACACAUCCACCAUGAUCACACCACUGUGCACAGGGCUGGCCUGUGGUUUUAGGGUAGGUUGUUGUGGCGAUUCUUUAAAAUAUAUCCCAAUUUUAACUGACUAAUUGUAUGUAAGUAUGGGAGGGAUUAGGAUUGUAUGCUUGGAGUACAAACAUGUAGCCAGAAAUAAACCUGGCAAAUUUGGGUAUGUAUUUACACACGGAUGUUUAUAUACAUUUAUAUCUAUAUUAUAUACAAAAAAUGAAGUUAAAAGAACAAUUAGGUUGCAAAGUCAUGGAUCCAAACAUUACAAAAUGCCAGAGUUCAGGCAUACAUACAACCUUGUGGAUAUGAGACUGUGAAAGUCUUUAGUUACCUACCCUCCCUUCCCCUUCUUGACUUUGCUGCCUGGGUGCCAGCAGCAGGAGCACUGAGAAUGCAGGAGAUACAAUCUUCUGUCUCUCACUUUUCUGUUUAGCACCACAAUGAUGCCUGAUAGCCAGGAGGAGCAAUUGCAGGGAAAGGUCCUACUCAGCCCCUGCUGCCCUGGCAUGGGAGCAUGCCCAGUGAAAGUGAAAUACUGGAAGAAUGUAGCUUCAACUAGUCUCUACUGAGCAUGUGUGAACUGAGAUUUUCAGAGGCUCAUAAUUUGGCCAAAUUUGAGCAGAUGUUCACAGACAGAAAAAAAGAUACAUCCUUGACACCAGGGCAACCUCCUCCAAAUUUGAAGUCCCUGUUCCAAAGUGUGGAGGCACCAGAGCUUCUCAACAAAUGGCUAUAGGGGUUUUAGCAUGGGCAAAACAACUUAUUUCCCUCUAAUCUCUAUCUGAGAAAUUCCUGGACUAUGGUAGCUGAAAUUAUUCAAACAAAUAAAUUCAGCCUGAGGUGAGGGUUGCCAGCUUUCUAACUGCUGAAAACGAGACGCCCCUGCCCCACCUCCGUAUUCACCUGGCAUAACAGGAGUACCAAAAUGCAUGGAGUUUGUUCAACACAGUAAAUCAUCACCUGAAGGAGCAUAUUCUUCAUGGCAGCAUGACCAGCAAUUACAUUAUUAUGUACUAUACAACGGCAAGUGGGGCUUAAGACAUUUAUAAAACAUUAUUUAUAAAAAGAGUGAGGCUAUUUCCCACAGUACUACAAAUUCAAUUCUACAUAUUACUAGUAAUGUUCUCUAUGAGGAUAGCUGUUUUUAAAUUGAGUUAAAAAUCAGAUGGAUUAAUAA